GACGAACGCUGGCGGCGUGCCUAAUACAUGCGAGUCGAACGAGAGCGACCGGUGCUUGCACUGGUCAAUCUAGUGGCGAACGGGUGAGUAACACGUGGGUGACCUGCCCAUCAGAGGGGGAUAACAUCCGGAAACGGAUGCUAAAACCGCAUAGGUCUUCGAACCGCAUGGUUUGAAGAGGAAAAGAGGCGCACGCUUCUGCUGAUGGAUGGACCCGCGGUGCAUUAGCUAGUUGGUGAGGUAACGGCUCACCAAGGCCGUGAUGCAUAGCCGACCUGAGAGGGUGAUCGGCCACAUUGGGACUGAGACACGGCCCAAACUCCUACGGGAGGCAGCAGUAGGGAAUCUUCCGCAAUGGACGCAAGUUUGACGGAGCAACGCCGCGUGAGUGAAGAAGGUUUUCGGAUCGUAAAACUCUGUUGUUAGAGAAGAACAAGUGCUAGAGUAACUGUUAGCGCCUUGACGGUAUCUAACCAGAAAGCCACGGCUAACUACGUG
rnacentral:rRNA from 1 species